UACGGAGGGUGCAAGCGUUAAUCGGAAUCACUGGGCGUAAAGCGCACGUAGGCGGCUUGGUAAGUCAGGGGUGAAAUCCCACAGCCCAACUGUGGAACUGCCUUUGAUACUGCCAGGCUUGAGUACCGGAGAGGGUGGCGGAAUUCCAGGUGUAGGAGUGAAAUCCGUAGAUAUCUGGAGGAACACCGGUGGCGAAGGCGGCCACCUGGACGGUAACUGACGGUGAGGCGCGAAAGCGUGGGGAGCAA
rnacentral:rRNA from 1 species